rnacentral:rRNA from 1 species
CCGGAAGGAUCAUUAACGAUUUCGGUGUAAAAAACCGUUUUCUACCUAUGUCUACGCGUACCACAUGUUUCCUCGGGGGGCUUGCCCCCCGCUAGGACCCUUUAUCAAACCUUUUUGUAAUAGCAGUCAGCGUCUGAUACUAAGUUAAUUAUUAAAACUUUCAACAAUGGAUCUCUUGGUUCUGGCAUCGAUGAAGAACGCAGCGAAAUGCGAUAAGUAGUGUGAAUUGCAGAAUUCAGUGAAUCAUCGAAUCUUUGAACGCACAUUGCGCCCCUUGGUAUUCCAUGGGGCAUGCCUGUUCGAGCGUCAUUUGAACCCUCAAGCUCUGCUUGGUGUUGGGUGUUUGUCCCGCCAUUGCGCGUGGACUCGCCUUAAAGCAAUUGGCAGCCAUGUAAUCCGGCUUUGAGCGCAGCACAUUGCGUACUCUCUACUGGGACAUGGGCAUCCAGAAGCCUUAUUUUUUACUCUUGACCUCGGAUCAGGUAGGGAUACCCGCUGAACUUAAGCAUAUCAAUGAGGCCGGAGGAAGAUCAUUAACGAUUUCGGUGUAAAAAACGUUUUCUACCUAUGUCUACGCGUACCACAUGUUUCCUCGGGGGGCUUGCCCCCGCUAGGACCUUUAUCAAACCUUUUUGUAAUAGCAGUCAGCGUCUGAUACUAAGUUAAUUAUUAAAACUUUCACAAUGGAUCUCUUGGUUCUGGCAUGAUGAAGAACGCAGCGAAAUGCGAUAAGUAGUGUGAAAUUGCGAAAUUCGUGAAUCAUCAAAUCUUUGAACGCACAUUGCGCCCUUGGUAUUCAUGGGGCAUGCCUGUUUC